rnacentral:rRNA from 1 species
UACGAAGGAUCCAAGCGUUAUCCGGAUUCAUUGGGUUUAAAGGGUGCGUAGGCGGUCAUAUAAGUCAGUGGUGAAAUCUCCAAGCAUAACUCGGAAAUUGCCAUUGAUACUGUUUGACUAGAGUUCAGGUGAUGUUGGCGGAAUGUGUCAUGUAGCGGUGAGAUGCUUAGAUAUGACACAGAACACCGAUUGCGAAGGCAGCUGACAAAACUGAUACUGACGCUGAUGCACGAAAGUGCGGGGAUCAAACAGG